CACGCCGCGUGAGUGAUGAAGGUUUUCGGAUCGUAAAGCUCUGUUGUUAGGGAAGAACAAGUGCCGUUCAAAUAGGGCGGCACCUUGACGGUACCUAACCAGAAAGCCACGGCUAACUACGUGCCAGCAGCCGCGGUAAUACGUAGGUGGCAAGCGUUGUCCGGAAUUAUUGGGCGUAAAGGGCUCGCAGGCGGUUUCUUAAGUCUGAUGUGAAAGCCCCCGGCUCAACCGGGGAGGGUCAUUGGAAACUGGGGAACUUGAGUGCAGAAGAGGAGAGUGGAAUUCCACGUGUAGCGGUGAAAUGCGUAGAGAUGUGGAGGAACACCAGUGGCGAAGGCGACUCUCUGGUCUGUAACUGACGCUGAGGAGCGAAAGCGUGGGGAGCGAACAGGAUUAGAUACCCUGGUAGUCCACGCCGUAAACGAUGAGUGCUAAGUGUUAGGGGGUUUCCGCCCCUUAGUGCUGCAGCUAACGCAUUAAGCACUCCGCCUGGGGAGUACGGUCGCAAGACUGAAACUCAAAGGAAUUGACGGGGGCCCGCACAAGCGGUGGAGCAUGUGGUUUAAUUCGAAGCAACGCGAAGAACCUUACCAGGUCUUGACAUCCUCUGACAAUCCUAGAGAUAGGACGUCCCCUUCGGGGGCAGAGUGACAGGUGGUGCAUGGUUGUCGUCAGCUCGUGUCGUGAGAUGUUGGGUUAAGUCCCGCAACAGCGGCAAACCC
rnacentral:rRNA from 1 species